AUCAUGACCUGAGCAGAGGUCAUCUGACUGAAGGCAGACGCUCACCUGACUGAGCCAUCCAGACAAAUGGCAUCAGACCAGGUGUGCGUUCCCGCAAGUCGCUGCUCAAAUUGCAUCUGCGACGUAAGCCACGUUGGUGCAUACAGCCGUCCUCUAGUCACUCCUGUGGCGCGCUCGCUCCGGCAGCCUGUGGCGGCCUGUGCACGAGGCUUGGAAGGAUACGGAGGAGAAGACCGCGUGGCCCCUGUGCAAGGGUGGCGCUGUCCUUGCUGAGUCGCUUCCCGUCGUAGGACUUGGGCAUCGUGCGCUUACUCUCCUGCUAACGGACGGUUGGCUUGUUCCUAGCUUUGGUGUCUCAUCAACAACGCUGCCCCGAACUGCUCGUGCACGUGAUCUGGUUCGUUCGGGGAGGCCCCAGAGCUGCCCUAGGAUGUGCCCGGGGGUGACGCUGUUAGCUCAUGACCACGGACACCUUCCACUCUACUACAUGACGGCAAAUUGUUUUCCAAAGUGGUUAUACCAGUUUCCAGAUCACGGCCCCCCUCCCCUGCAGGGUACGGAUUCCCGCCAGUCCGCGUUCCCUGCCACGCUUUUCCUUCCUGCCAAUCAGUGGCAAUAAAAGGAUAUUUCACUAUGACUUUAA